GGCAGGACAGCUGUUGUUCCCCUGGCCCCUGCCCUGGCCACACUGGCCAAGAGAGAAGGAGGAAAUGAAGACACAGGGAGCAGUUGUUAUAAUAAAGAGAAGUCCCUGCCUCCGUGCAGAGGGCAGGAGCGAAUGCUGGGGCCCAGGGCUUUAGAACCAGCCGGUCCUGGUGGUGAAUUCUAGCUGGGCCCCACGGAAGCUCGUGCCCCUGCAUCCCAGGGACAGCGCAGCGCCCACCUGCCAAGUUGUGGUGGUUCCGUGAAGUGAGGCAGAAAAGCUCUUAGCGGCGCCUGGCACAGAGCUCAGAACGUAUGGCUGUUGUUGGAGCUGGAGGCGCUCAGUGCGCCACUCUCGCUGGUGUGACCCAGCGCUGCUGCCUCGGGCCCUGAGGCUCUGGGCCUGGGCUCUGUCCCCAGGCAGGCCCAUCUCUGUCACAGGCCCUGCCGCCAAGCCAAGGCAUGUCGCUUGCCUCCUUGGGGCCUGGGUCUUCCCCUCUGGUAAAUGGGGUAAUCCUCCCGACCCGCCGGGAUUGGGGGUUACUCCGUGCCGGCGUCCGCCGAGGUCUGUCCAUUUCCUUAUCUCAUUUAGCCUUCAAAACAACCCUGAGAGGUGAAGGCCACGACGAUCCCAAUUUCACAGACGAACGGACAGAGCCUCAGAGAGGUGAACUCCCCUUCUGGGAAUCAGCAGCCUGGAAGGUGGCAUGGAACGCACCCCUGAGAGCCAGCACCUCGUGGGCCACGCUCCUUUUCUUGCUGGUGGAAUCGAGGCGGGUCCUCAAGCAUGUGUGGGGCACCAACCAUGAUGAGUUAUCCCAUUUUACAAACGUGGAAACGGAGGCGCAGACAGCGGCCAUGUUCAGCCCAGGCCUCGCAGAUAGCCCUGCUCGUCCUUCAGGGCUGGCCGCGCCCGGAAGGCCGCCCUGCCACCCGGGCAAGUCCCUCUCUGCGGUACCCUGCGCUUCUCCUCCUGUGUCCUCUUGGCAAUGAUAAAGAGCCUGCUCAGUGUGUCUCCUGGCCUGUAAGUCCCCUGAGGGCGGGUACCGUGUCUGUGUGCUCAGCUUUCUGCCCCAGAGCCAGGGCAGGUCUGGCACCUGAUAAGUGCCUGUUGUACGUUUGUUGAAUGAAUGAAUGAGUGAGUGAUGGAGUCAGAAUGGAAAGACAACCAGCCUUGUGACGCCUAGUCAAGAAUUAUUAUCACCCCUCUGCCUCGGGGUGUCUUCACCAUUUUAUACCUUAACUGGAGUGGAUGCUGAUGGGGGAGUCGCCCCCUCACCCACCAUCUAACUCAUCCUCGGGCCGCUGUCCUGCCCCCCUCAUUUCCCUGGGGUCUGACCUGGGAGCCUGUGUGCACACCCACUGGGUGAAGGGGAGAAGGAUGCUAUCCCGGCGGCCUCCCUCAGCUUGGCCUCCAAGGACCAGUGGAGGGUGGCUGCCUGCCUCGGUGGUGGCCUCACCGAGCCACCCCAGGCUCUCCAGGGGCCUGCUCCAGCCACUGGCUGGGAAAGUGAAGCCGUGACCCCACCCCUCCACCCCCAGCACAUCGUCCCCGCGCCUCCUCCUGGCCCGUGCCGUGAGCCUCCCAGUGCAGAGAUGUCCCGGGGACUCCCCUGCCGUCCCCCUGGACGUGGACCCACCAUGUUCCCCGUUUGUUUAUUUAAGACCAUCACACAUGCUUUCUCUGCGCCAGGCACUGUUCUGGGCACUUGACAGAUAUUUAUCCUUAGUAUGAAGUCAGUGCCAAUAUGUCCUCAUUUUACAGACAGGGAAACUGAGGCACAGAGAGGUCCGUGACUGGUCUGCUUUUUCCUGGGCUUUCACCCCUGACUGCUAGCUGGGGCCUUGGCUCUCACAGCCUCCUCAGGUGUUCCCACCUCCUGCUCACCGGGCUCAUGCGGCCCCACUGCCUUUGUCACACGGGUGCCUCUCCUGAGACGCUGGCACAGGGCGGUGGCACAGUGGGUGG
rnacentral:lncRNA from 1 species